GGUUACUGCUAUCGAGGUUCGACUAAGCCAUGCGAGUCGAAUGUAGCAAUACAUGGCGUACUGCUCAGUAACACGUGGACAACCUACCCUUAGGCCUGGGAUAACCCCGGGAAACUGGGAAUAAUACCGGAUAUCUCGCGAAUGCUGGAAUGCGUCGCGAUAGAAAGCUCCGGCGCCUAAGGAUGGGUCUGCGGCCUAUCAGGUAGUAGUGGGUGUAACGUGCCUACUAGCCUACGACGGGUACGGGUUGUGAGAGCAAGAGCCCGGAGAUGGAUUCUGAGACACGAAUCCAGGCCCUACGGGGUGCAGCAGGCGCGAAAACUUUACAAUGCUGGAAACAGCGAUAAGGGGACCUCGAGUGCCAGGAUACAAUCCUGGCUGUCGUAAUGCCUAAAAAGCAUUGCAUACAAGGGCCGGGCAAGACCGGUGCCAGCCGCCGCGGUAACACCGGCGGCUCGAGUGGUAACCGCUAUUAUUGGGUCUAAAGGGUCUGUAGCCGGCUGACUAAGUCUCUUGGGAAAUCUGACAGCUUAACUGUCAGGCUUUCAGGAGAUACUGAUCGGCUCGAGACCGGGAGAGGUGAGAGGUACCUCAGGGGUAGGGGUGAAAUCUUGUAAUCCUUGAGGGACCACCAGUGGCGAAGGCGUCUCACCAGAACGGAUCUGACGGCAAGGGACGAAAGCUAGGGGCACGAACCGGAUUAGAUACCCGGGUAGUCCUAGCCGUAAACGAUACUCGCUAGGUGUCGGCCACGGUGCGACCGUGGUCGGUGCCGUAGGGAAGCCGUGAAGCGAGCCACCUGGGAAGUACGGCCGCAAGGCUGAAACUUAA
rnacentral:rRNA from 1 species